rnacentral:rRNA from 1 species
AACGAACGCUGGCGGCAGGUCUUAGGCAUGCAAGUCGAACGGGUGUAGUAAUACACCAGUGGCGAACGAGUGAGUAACGCGUGGGAAUAUGCCCAUCUCUGGGGAAUAACGUUUGGAAACGAACGCUAAUACCGCAUACGCCCGCAGGGGGAAAGAUUUAACGGAGAUGGAUGAGCCCGCGUUGGACUAGUUAGUUGGUGGGGUAACGGCCAACCAAGGCGAUGAUCCAUAGCCGGUCUGAGAGGACGAUCAGCCACGCUGGAACUGAGAUCCGGGCCAGACUCAUACGGGGUGCAGCAGCUAAGAAUAUUGGGCAAUGGAGGAACCGCUGACCCAGCCAUGCCGCGUGAAUGAAGAAGGCCUUAGGUUUGUAAAGGUCUUUUAGUCGUGACGAUGAUGACGGUAGCGACAGAAAAAGCACCGGCUAACUUCGUGCCAGCAGCCGCGGUAA